rnacentral:ncRNA from 1 species
UAGUCGAUCCUAAGAGAUGGGGAAUCCUUGUAUCAAGGGUGCACUCUGCAUGAACAUCGAAAGAGAAUUGGGUUAAUAUUCCCGAACCGGGACAUGGUGGUGGAUGACCAUGUUGGAAAUCUGGAGAUGUCAUCAGGGGCCUAGGAAGAGUUAUCUUUUCCUUUUAACGAAUUUCCCACCCUGAAAUCGGUUCAACCAUAGAUAGGGUCCAACAUCUGGAAGAGAACCACACGUCUUGCGGUGUUUGGUGCCCCCUCGACAUCCAUUGAAAAUAUGGAGAACCGAGUACCAUCCAUGCCUGAUCGUACUCAUAUCUGCCUCC